rnacentral:rRNA from 1 species
CGGGGGCCCGCACAAGCGGUGGAGCAUGUGGUUUAAUUCGAUGCAACGCGAAGAACCCUACCUACUCUUGACAUCCAGAGAAGCCAGCAGAGAUGCAGGUGUGCCUUCGGGAACUCUGAGACAGGUGCUGCAUGGCNGUCGUCAGCUCGUGUUGUGAAAUGUUGGGUUAAGUCCCGCAACGAGCGCAACCCUUAUCCUUGUUUGCCAGCACGUAAUGGUGGGAACUCCAGGGAGACUGCCGGUGAUAAACCGGAGGAAGGUGGGGANGANNNCNAGUCAUCAUGGCCCUUACGAGUAGGGCUACACACGUGCUACAAUGGUGCAUACAGAGGGAAGCAAGAGCGCGAGCUGGAGCGGAUCCCAAAAAGUGCAUCGUAGUCCGGAUUGGAGU